CCCUUAGAUGUUCUGGGCCGCACGCGCGCUACACUGACGAAUGCAACGAGCUUAUAACCUUGGCCGAAAGGUCUGGGUAAUCUCCAAAUUUCGUCGUGAUGGGGAUAGAUUAUUGCAAUUAUUGGUCUUCAACGAGGAAUUCCUAGUAAACGCAAGUCAUCAACUUGCAUUGAUUACGUCCCUGCCCUUUGUACACACCGCCCGUCGCACCUACCGAUUGAAUGGUCCGGUGAAACCUCCGGAUUGGCGCGCACCUCGGUGCCGCCGAGAAGUUGGCUAAACCCUACCAUUUAGAGGAAGGUGAAGUCGUAACA
rnacentral:rRNA from 1 species